AGGUAGCAAGUUUGAGUCCAGCCUAAGAUGAAUGGGACCCUGUCUCAAAACAAAACAAACAAAAAUUCACCUCAAGCGACCCUUCUUUGUCUUUAUAGGAUUAUAGGUGUGUACUGCCACGCCCUGCUUAUGCUUUGCUGGUGAACUGGGGACUCUGCAUACUAGCAGCCAGUUACACGUGGAAACCACAAUAUAGAUCACUUUUCUGCUCAGAUCCCU